rnacentral:lncRNA from 1 species
CAGUUUCCCUGUCUGGGCCGCAAAGGAGGCGGUUCCCCGUCAGAGACUCCAAACGGGGCCGCGUGAGGGCUGAGAGUCCUUGUGGGCCUGAGGCUACGAGGAGUCCGGGGAGGCUUCCCGGAGGAGGUGGCGGCAUCCCAGGACUCAUCUAUGCCCAGAAACAGGAAGCGUCAGGGUGACAGGAGUCAACACCUGCUUCAUCUGCCAUCAGCUUCUCUUCACCUGGAACACCCCUUGGACUCCAUCAUCAGAAGGUUCUACUCCAGUUUAACAUGUGUAGAAGCCCUUCACCUCUGGCCAUAUUUCCUAAGUGACUGCACUAUACCCAGUUAUGAAACCAAAAUUAAAUUUAGUAGAUUACUGAAAAUGCUUCUACUGUGAUAAUUCAAUGUUCCUUAUGUCCUCUUAAACAAAAACCUGGAUGAAAAGAGUUACAUCAAACCCUGAGUAAUUAGAAAGGAAUAGAAGCAGUAGUCUCUCAUUUUGUGAGAGAAUAGAAGUCUGACAACUGCACCUGAUCUUUUUUCCCCCUUGGCAUGCAUUUUAUGGAAUCUGAAAGUUGUAUCUGAUUGUAAGUACUAUAUCUUAAAGAGGCCAUGUAGAGAAGUAAGAGAAAUGCUGCACACAAGAGUUAGGAGAUUUGAAUUUGAGUCCUGUCUUCUGCUACUUACUAGCUGGGUUUUCUUGGAGUAAUCACUUCACCUCUCUGAUCCUCAGUUUUCUUGUCUGUAGAAUGGAGAUAAUACUUUUAUUGCCUACUUUACAGGGUUGUGGGG